rnacentral:rRNA from 1 species
CAUGUGGUUUAAUUUACGAUAGCAACGCCGAAGAAACCUUACCCACGCCCUUGACAUGCUAGGUUUUCGGAUUCGAGAGAUCGAUUCUUUUCAGUUCGGCUGGGCCUAGUGCAGGUGCUGCAUGGCUGUCGUCAGCUCGUGUCGUGAGAUGUUGGGUUAAGUCCCGCAACGAGCGCAACCCUCAUCUUCAGUUGCCAUCAGGUCAAGCUGGGCACUCUGAAGAAACUGCCGGUGACAAGCCGGAGGAAGGUGGGGAUGACGUCAAGUCCUCAUGGCCCUUACGGGCUGGGCUACACACGUGCUACAAUGACGGUGACAGUGGGAUGCGAUGGCGCGAGCCGGAGCGAAUCUCCAAAAGCCGUCUCAGUUCGGAUUGCACUCUGCAACUCGGGUGCAUGAAGUUGGAAUCGCUAGUAAUCGUGGAUCAGCAUGCCACGGUGAAUACGUUCCCGGGCCUU